rnacentral:rRNA from 1 species
GAUGAACGCUGGCGGCGCGCCUAAUACAUGCAAGUCGAGCGAAUGGAUUAAGAGCUUGCUCUUAUGAAGUUAGCGGCGGACGGGUGAGUAACACGUGGGUAACCUGCCCAUAAGACUGGGAUAACUCCGGGAAACCGGGGCUAAUCCCGGAUAACAUUUUGAACCGCAUGGUGCGAAAUUGAAAGGCGGCUUCGGCUGUCACUUAUGGAUGGAUCUGCGUCGCAUUAGCUAGUUGGUGAGGUAACGGCUCACCAAGGCAACGAUGCGUAGCCGACCUGAGAGGGUGAUCGGCCACACUGGGACUGAGACACGGCCCAGACUCCUACGGGAGGCAGCAGUAGGGAAUCUUCCGCAAUGGACGAAAGUCUGACGGAGCAACGCCGCGUGAGUGAUGAAGGCUUUCGGGUCGUAAAACUCUGUUGUUAGGGAAGAACAAGUGCUAGUUGAAUAAGCUGGCACCUUGACGGUACCUAACCAGAAAGCCACGGCUAACUACGUGCCAGCCGCCGCAGUAA